UACGUAGGGUGCGAGCGUUAAUCGGAAUUACUGGGCGUAAAGCGUGCGCAGGCGGUUUUGUAAGUCUGACGUGAAAUCCCCGGGCUUAACCUGGGAAUUGCGUUGGAGACUGCAAGGCUGGAGUCUGGCAGAGGGGGGUAGAAUUCCACGUGUAGCAGUGAAAUGCGUAGAGAUGUGGAGGAACACCGAUGGCGAAGGCAGCCCCCUGGGCUAACACUGACGCUCAUGCACGAAAGCGUGGGGAGCAAACAGG
rnacentral:rRNA from 1 species